GUGCUCACUUGGGUAGCACAUAUACUAAAAUUGGAAUACAGAGAAGAUUACCAUGUACCAGGCCCCUGUACAAGGAUGACACACAAAUUCGUGAAGCAUUCCAUGUUUUU